rnacentral:rRNA from 1 species
UUUUAUCGCUAUUAGAUGAGCCUAUGUUAGAUUAGCUAGUUGGUAAGGUAAUGGCUUACCAAGGCUAUGAUCUAUAGCUGGUCUGAGAGGACGAUCAGCCACACUGGAACUGAGAUACGGUCCAGACUCCUACGGGAGGCAGCAGUGGGGAAUAUUGGACAAUGGGCGAAAGCCUGAUCCAGCUAUGCCGCGUGAGUGAAGAAGGCCUUCUGGUUGUAAAACUCUUUCAAUAGGGAAGAUAAUGACGGUACCUAUAGAAGAAGUCCCGGCAAACUCUGUGCCAGCAGCCGCGGUAAUACGGAGGGGGCAAGCGUUGUUCGGAAUUAUUGGGCGUAAAGGGCACGUAGGUGGACUAGUAAGUUAAAAGUGAAAUACCAAAGCUUAACUUUGGAGCGGCUUUUGAUACUGCUAGACUAGAGGUCUGAAGAGGAUAGCGGAAUUCCUAGUGUAGAGA